ensembl:lncRNA
UAAAAUCUUGUUCAUGAAUACUUUACUGAAUUCCUGUGGUUGUUGACAUUAACAAGAAAGAAGUAUGCUGUCAUUUUAUUUUAUUAUUUUAAGUAUUAUUUAUACUUAUUUACUCCAAGUGGCAGUGCCAAAGGGGCCACAACUGUUCACAUUAGAAGAGACUGUUUCUAUGUUGUUUGGUGUCACGGAGCAGGAAACAUCCUUGACCUUUAUAUGUAAUGAUAUCGAGGUUCAGGAGGAGUCCUGACGUCCUAUCCCUGACAGAUGACACGCCUGCCCUGGGAGAUUCACCUGUCUCACCUGGAUUUCUGGACCUGCCCUGCCCCGCCACCUGGAUUACCCACCUGCCCCACCACCUGGAUUACCCACCUGCCCCACCACCUGGAUUACCCACCUGCUUCACUUACCUGGGACCCCUGACCUUUGCACCCCGACCCCGCUCCUUAAUCCAACCACACCUUGCGUUUCUCACUGUUGUUGUUGUUUGAGUUCAAUAAACCUUCUUUGCUACAUUCUGUGUCUGAUCUGCGUUUGGGUUCAGGCCUCGAAAGUCCUG